GACGAACGCUGGCGGCGUGGAUUAGGCAUGCAAGUCGAACGGUAGGAUACCUUCGGGUAUCUGAGAGUGGCGAACGGGUGAGUAACACGUAGGUGAUCUACCCUCAAGAUUGGGACAACCCAGGGAAACUUGGGCUAAUACCGGAUGAAAGCAGCAGUGAUGUUGUUUGAAAGGUGGCGUAAGCUGCCGUUUGGGGAUGAGCCUGCGCUCUAUUAGUUAGUUGGCGGGGUAAAGGCCCACCAAGGCGAUGAUAGAUAGGCGGCCUUAACGGGUGGUCGCCCACACUGGGAUUGAGAUACGGCCCAGACUCCUACGGGAGGCAGCAGUCGAGAAUAGUCUACAAUGGCCGAAAGGCUGAUAGUGCGACGCCGCGUGAACGAAGAAGCCCUUCGGGUGUAAAGUUCUUUUAUAUGUGAGCAGUGCUUUCUUAUGUGAACAGCAUGGGGAGAGAGAUAUUAGCAUAUGAAUAAGCAACGGCUAACUCCGUGCCAGCACG
rnacentral:rRNA from 1 species